UUUUGUUUUGGUAUAUGUGUACACUUUAACCUAACAACUGUAAGCAAGUACAUGUAACUCCGGAGUUAUAAAAAAGCUUCUAAAAACUAACCGAGCUAGAGGGAUUCAAACACACACCAUAAGAUAUAGCUAGAGGGAUGGAAGUUGUACCUAAAGCCACAGCACUCAGCCACAUUUUUGUUCAUUGGGUGCUUUUUUAUAUAUAAUAUCAGUUUUGCUGUGACUACUUAUAUAAUUAUACCUAAUCUAUGUUGAAUUUAUGGGUGCUGGAGCACCUAAAUAAAUACGUGGGUCCGCCCCUGGUGGGUGCAAAAGGACGGGUUGAUCAUCAAUCUCCCGUCGACAAGCUAUCAUUCAAAUUGUCGCCGCUUUACCCAUCUCCCUAUUUCUUAUAUAUAUUUUCUCCGUCUUCUCAAUUCAUUCAUGUGAUUGUUUUAUGUGUUUUUUGCACAAAUUGAUUUUUUUCCAUUUAUUCAUGAAAUUCCUGUUUUUGCUUUCGCUUUGAAUUUUCUUUAUGGAUUUAGGGUUUUGGUUGAUUUGUAGCAUUUGCCUGCCAUGAUAUUUUGAAGUACUACUUGUUAAUUAUUGGUGAGCUCUAGGGUUUUGUAUUCAAGAAAUAACUUUUUGUAUAUGGAUCUAGGUUUUUUUUUCCGCUUUGAUUUUAACAAGUGCGUUUACGUGUAUGAUCUAGUCCUUUUUUGGUUCAUAAAACUGGAAAGUACAGACUUUGUUGACUCAAUUAAUUUACAUGAAGAUUAAACUGUUUUUGGUCUUAUAAACCAGAAGACUACAACAUUGUAUGCAUUAGUUUAGUUAUGAUGGUGAAUAAGCCUAUGUUCUUGUGGUAAAUUGGAAAUAUAAGAUAUCCGUGAGCUAAUAUAAUUUCUGUGGUGAAUUUUAUUGUAUUUGUUGGUCUACUAAACUGGAAAAGUUUAAGACCUGGGAUGGAAUAAUUCAAUUUCCAAAGAAAAUAUAGGGGCUUUUUGGUCUAGAAGACUGGAAAGUUAAAAAUUUAUGUCGAUUUUAGAAAUCUAUUGAGGUGUAAUAAUUUUAUGACCACAUCAUUUUUUUUUGGUCUACUAAACUGUACAGUUAACAUUUUGCGUGGACUAGUUUAAUUUCAACAGGGAAUAUAGUCGCUCUUUGGUCCAAAAAGUUAGAAUUGUGUCGACACUAGCAAGUUUUCAGGUAUAAUUUUAUAACAACAUUUUAAUUUUGAUGGCGAAUUUAGUUACAUUUUUGGUCUAGGAGUCUGGAAAUUUCAAGAUGUUCCAUUGACUAAUUUAGUUUCCAUGUUGAAUUUAGCUGGCUAUUAUUUGGUAUAGAAAUUAGAAAUUUCUUUGUCGAUCUUAGCAAUUUAUUGUGGUAUAAUUUGUUGAUAAGGCGGUGAAGAUAUCGACACCGGCGAGGAAGAGACUGAUGAGGGAUUUCAAGCGGUUACAGCAGGAUCCUCCAGCUGGCAUUAGUGGAGCUUCUUAUGACAACAAUAUAAUGCUUUGAAAUGCUGUCACUUCUGGUCCUGAUGACACUCUGUGGGAUGAAGUUUAUGCUGAUGGAAGUAUUUACUUAGACAUCCUGCAAAAUCAAUGGAGUCCCAUAUAUGAUGUAGCUGCUAUACUUACUUCAAUCCAGUCAUUGCUCUGCGAUCCAAACCCUAACUCGCCAGCUAAUUCGGAAGCUGCACGCAUGUUUAGUGAGAACAAGCGCGAAUAUAACAGGAAGGUGCGGGAGAUCGUUGAACAAAGCUGGACAGCAGACUGACUUCUCCUUCACUCUGAACAUGUUACAGGAGAUUAUCCUGAUAGGAUUGCCUGCGUCAAACUGAAAUGUUCAUGCUUUUCCUCACUACAUAGGACAUUUUUGUUUCAUGCGUUCUUAGGUACGUUGGUGUGUGUUUAAUUAAUGUUAUGCUGCUUGACCACGAGGGACGAUAUCUACAUAUGAUUUCUUGUGGCCAAACUGGAGUGAAAUUGUAUCAAGCCUGUUUCCGUUAGUAAUCAAAAAAGGACUUCAGAUGAGGAAAGAACACUGAUCCCUGUAUGUUAAUUUAAUUCUUUUGAGAGCUCAAAGGAGGCUUAUUAUGAUC